UACUAGGUUUUGUACCAGGGGGACAAAAUAAUCUGUGUAACAAGUCCCCAAGACACAAGUUUAUCUAUAUGACAAACUUUGACGUGUAGCCCUGAGUCUAAAAUAAAAGUUUUUUAAAAAUGGCCAUUCUAGAAAUAAAAAUAUAAAAGAGUUGGGGGGAAAAAGUGGCCACAAUCUUUUCCAGCUUGAAUGGGAGGUGGUAAGCAGUACGGGCCCAUGGCAGUUGCUGUCUUCACGGUAGGAACUUUGAGUACUUUUCAUGUAAAACAGCUCUUUAUUGCCUAAGGGCAGUAGAAAUUGGUGUGGACAGUUAAGAAUAGAGGGUUGAGCUGUAUCAGUAAAGGAGGUUUUGCAAUAUCAAGUUUAGAGACUAAAGCUCAAAUUUCAGUCAGAGCAAUUCUAGAAAACUCUUGGCACAAUUGCUUUAUGACAUUGUAUUUUGUUGAAAGAUGAAGGAGAGAGUGAAGUGACUAUCUGGGGACCCUGAGGAAGUCCCUAAGAUUCUGUUGACAAAGGAAUCUGAGUGCAGGAAGCACGUGGCUUGCCUACCCAGCUCAAGUCUUAUGAAGAGUACAGGUGUUGACAGUUUCUGAAGACAGAGCAGAGGAGGCUCUGGACCUGAUGUCUAUUUGAUGGCAGAAGUGAGUAAGGGUACCUAGUCACAUUGCUUUGUAAGAACCAUUUUUACAUGUGCCUGACUGUCUGUAGUUGCAAGUCAAAUUUGACAAAACCACAGUGUAGGUUUAUAGCUAGAACUUACAUGUAUAUAUUUACUGUCAUUUGAUUUUUUCCCUAGGAGAAUGAUAUUUAAUUUUUCUCAUUUUCACACUGAUCACAAAACACACACGCAAUUCAUGAAACUGAAGGCAGAGAAGAACUUCCAAAAGCACUGGGCUGAAGAGAUACCAUGGAUAAAGAUGUGAUGCAUGGACAUCAGCUAAUGUGCAGGAAUGUAGAUAGCCAAAUGCAUGUGGCCAUCCCAAGACCUAUGUGUUCUUGGAAGAUUUUGCCAAUGUUUCCCCCCAAUUUUGCUGCAGCACGAAACAUUUCUGAAGUUCAACUUCAGGGAUUAUAUUGAGGAUCACUUUACACGUCACAUAAGAAAAUAACUUUCUUCUUCAGCUUAGGAGUCAAUUGUGAUAUUGAUAGGAUUUUUAGCACCUCUCUUGGUACAAAAGAGGAAGGAGAAUUAAGCCUAUAGUGCAGGCAAAUAAAUGAUUGCAAUAAGGAAAUCCGUGGACCAACCAGAAUGUGGGCUUCCUCAGUGACUACAGAAAUUACCAGGAAAAUGGAAGAGAAAUGGGCCCAGGUAAUGACAGUGCUUUCAAGCUGUCCCAGUCAAUAAAAAUGCUUGAUAAAUGGUUUCUCAGCCUUGCCAUUGGGAAAAGGAGAGAAGGAACUACUCUGGCUGUUACUCCCUACACCUUCCUUAUCCCCAGUACUGUGGCCCAUGCCUCAAGUUCUGUGGACAAUAAGAAACAAACAGCAACAAAACAUAUCAACUCGAGCUUUUGGACGUGAGGGCCAGAUAUAUGGUUGAAGCCUGGAAAGCAAAGGGAAUAAAGAAAUAAAAAGACAUAAAAUAUGAACCCACAUGUCCUCUAAAGUCUUUAUGUUUCAGAAUAAUCCUUUUUGUUUCUUUAAAUUCCAGAACCUGUACUCCCUUCCUUUUUCCCUCCUAAGAGUACAGGCCUGAAGGAGCUAUAGGUGAGCUUUCUGAAAAGAAGCACCCUCUGCUUUACAUUAUGGCCCUGCAAUAGGAACGAGCUCUCCAGUGGGCACACAAACCCAGGCGCGGUCCCCAUGAGGUCACUCUUCUGCUUGGCCUCCACCAUGAGCCAGACUCUUGACCCCCUACCAGAUACUGCUCUUACCACCCUUCUGUCCUGCCAAGGCUAGAACAUGGAGGCCAAAGCCCAUGAGUUUCAAAAAGAUAUUGCAGAUACUGUGAUUUAUCACCGUUUUAGGCUUGAAUUCUCCUUACAACAUUCCUUCGCGACGUCUCCAAUUCCCUAGGACUCUUCCUGUUGGAGAGAACGUUUAAAUAAGAGAAUGCAUGUAACUCAUUCAGUGCAGGGCCCAGGGCAUAAAGAACUCAUUUGAUAAAGUAUUCCUCCUUCUGAAAGCUCAGAUAAGCAUCAAAUGAUACUGACCUCACUGAUCUGAGAUUUAUGCCAUAUAACUUCCACCCGUUGAUUCUAGAUGUAGCCGCUGCAAUCCUACAAAACCAGAAUAACCCCUUAAAAUUCCUCCGUGUCCACUUCUCUCCAUGGAAAAUAGACCCAUUUUCAGCUGCUCCUCAGGAGAUAUGAUUGUUCUCCUCUGAUUGUGUUCCAGUUUAUUUUUACCUACCAGCCAAGUGUUUUAAAAUUACCAUUUUGGUGUAUUUCUUUUUAAAGUGGGUGUGUGUGUGUGUGUAAUCACACUGUUAUACUAUUUUGUAGCUUACUUUUUAAAUGUAUGCUUCCCUUCCUUAAAUGCUCUUACACUAUGGUCUUAAUUAUUCUAGUUAAUAAUCGUGAUAAGAGCAAAUAUGUGAUGAAUUCUCGCUACAGUCCACGCACUCCACCAAAUAUAUUUCAUUCACGUCAAACCUCUGAGGUAGGCCCACGGAUCAUCAACAUUUUACAAAUGAAAGCCACACUCAAGUCAAGGUGUAUGCAGGCUCAAAAGCCACCCAAGUUCACCAGGAAGUAAAGGACAAAGCCAAGAUUCAAACACAGAUACAGCCAGCCCCAGAGCCCACACUCUUUCCUGCUUUCUGUUUUACCUUUCUGGUUCUUCUUUGGCUAAAAAGUCCUUUGCGUUGUCCUUUAUACUUUUGUAACUCCAGCACUUUGGAACUUGAGCCUAUGGCAGUAUUUUCAGAGCCCUGUCUUUCUCUCUUGUACUCAUCUUCAGGGGUAUGUCUUAUGUCUAUCUUUAAAAAUUAUGCACAUGAACUACAAACAGCCUGAGCCCGUGGAGUCGCUGGCAGGCAGCCUCCUGUCUUCGGGCACUUCCCACUCUUCUUGAUUUGCCUGAUAACCUCGUUGGGAGGACUUCCUGUCCAGCCUCAUUUCAUGGGAUCUGCCUCCCUCUCCCUGUCCUUGGAAACUCUGACAGCCCUGAUAGUGCCCGGUUGCAUGUGUGACUUUGGGAAGCCUUUGUUUUCUUGAUUGCUGCCACCUGAAGAACCUAUUUCUUCCCCUUUGUCAACUAGCAGUCAACAUCAAUGCUUUUUCCAAAACCUGGGAGAUAAAUGGUCAGCAUGAUGAGCUAAUAACUGGCCAAAUACUCUGGAUUCAGCCUCGCAGGUGGAGAGUUGGUCUCCAGUCAUUCCUCCAUCUUGCCUCUGUGUGGUUUACAGGUAAACCAGGAUCACGGCAUCAAACUUUUCCCUUUUCCUUCUUCCAGUGAGUGAUUUGUGAUGCACUCUCUUCCAAGUUAAUAUAACCAUCCAUCUUCACCGAGAUCUGACGAACUUGCUCAACCCUCCAGCUUGCAAGUUUUCCAAAAGCACAGCUCCAUCCUCUCCCUCGGUGCUUGUGUCUCCUAGGGCUGCCAUAUGUACCAUGAACUGGGUUCUGGGGGCCAGGAGCCUCAAAUCAGAGUGCCAAGGGGGCCAUGCCCCUCUGAGACUGAUUAGAGUCCUUCCCUGCCUCCUCCCUCCCUGGGCUUGCAGCUGCAGCUCCCCAAUUCUGCCUCUGCCCUCCCAUGCUAUUGCCCUUCUCUAUCAUCUCCAACUCUUCUACCUAUAAGGACACCAGUCCUUUUGGGUUCAGACUCAUUCUAAUGCCCUCUUCUUAACCUGAUUACAUCUGCAAAGAUACUGUUUCCAGUUAGGUCACAUUCACAGGUGCUGGGAGUUUUAAGGUUUCAGCAUCACUUUUGGGGGGACACAAUUCAAUUCAUGACACUUGGGAAACCUGCUUCCACUUAACAGUGCAAACCCUUCUGCCACCAUUUUCUAGUCAUAAAUCCCACCAGGCCAAAGCUCAAAGUACUUUGUAGGAUUGCAUUUAUUACCCUAAAUUAUAGUCUCAAAUUCGCAUUAUGAAUUAUGCAUUGGGUAUUGGACAAUAGACAUAUGGGUCCACAGGUUUUUUGUUGUUGUUGUUUGAUUUGAUUUUCCUUACCUAAGUAUGUCAAGGUGUUGUCAAUUCACUCUACACAUCUUUCUGCAUUACACUGAGCAUCUGCUUUGUGCCAGGCAAUGUUCUAGGUGCUCAGGGAUCAAUGAGGACUAGAGCUGAUGCAGUCUUUACUCUCAUGGGGGUUAGGGUCUAGCAGCAAAGACAAACAUUAUACAAAUACUAAAGACAAAUGCAGAGAGUUUUGGAUGUGGCCUUUUGAAACUUGGCUGUACUCCUUCCUAAAUCUGUGACUAUGGAUCAAUCACCUAACUUCUCUGUGCCUCAGUUUGCCCAUCUGUUGAAAGGACAUACUAUCGGUAAACAUUUCACAGCAUUAUUGGAAGGCUUGACUAAGUGAAUUCAUGCGAAAUUCCCAGAACAGGUCCAGACACAGUAAGUAGUCUCUAAGUGUUAGUUAUUAUUAUGCUAGAAAGGCCUUAACCUCACCUGGGGACAGAGAAACCCUUCUUGCAGAAAUGUAGGCAAGCUGAGCCUGAAGGCUAAGUGGCACUCGGGGAAAGGUGGAGGAGGGGAGAAGAGGACUUUUUAGGUAAACUGAUUAGGAAAGGAAGUGACACUGGGGUAUUUUCCAGAGUUGUAUCCUAAUGCUGUGUUUGCUGCCUCCUUGAUCCGUUCACAGCCCGCGGAGAUAACCCUUUCUUCAGACACACACUCCCAUCUCAUGUGUCUCUAGCAAAAUAUCACCUAAAGCUACCCUCUGACUCUUCUCUUUGACAUUUGUACAACUUCACCAAGCACUAACACACCUAUGAGAGGCCACUGGCCCUUGUUUCCAGCCUCGGAAUUCUCCAGGAAUCCUGUGUGGAGGAGAGAGGACCUGUAUACAGUCUGAAUAUCACCCUCUGGAAAUAGUCCUCCCAGGACACACAUUGGUAAGGCCUUCUCUUGACCUCGGGUUCUUUUCUCUUCUUGCAUGAUGGUAGAUGCCUGCAGCAUAUCAGGUUGAGCUGUUUCAUCCCAGGAUUUCUCCCAUUUUGUGAAACGCUGGCCGUGGUAGGACCGCUCGGUCCUCUGCUCUGUGGUAUCCCACACACUUCAUCUCAGGAAGUCUUGUCUUGUCUGAGGACUUUCUUCAAAAACCUCAAAUCUUUCCUGCUGAUUUCAGCCCUCUAUAACUUUAACUAAAGAUCUGCAGCCUUUUUCUGUAAAGGGCCAGAUAGUAAAUAUUUUAGUCUUGUGGGCUAUAAUGAUCUCUCUCACAAACACUCAAUGCUGCUGUUGAAGUGAAAAAGCAGCCAGAGGCCACAUGUUCAUGAAGGGGCAAGGUGUGUUCCAAUAAAACUUUGUUUAUAAAAACAUUCAGUCAGCAGGAUUGGCCUGUGGGCUGUAGUUUGCCUUCCCUUGCCUUAGACUAUAACAUUUCCUUUGGAAAAAUCAAAGCUGUGAUCCAGGGUGGAACCAUUGUGGAUUCAUGCUUAAGUUUAAUACAGUUAAAACCAAACUCCCUUUUCUACUAAAAUUAGCUCCCGCCCCAGAUUUCCCUAUUUCUGGCAAUGACAGCAACACUUUCCAACUCAUACACGUUUAACAACAUGGAGUUGAAUAUUUGAUUCCUCCUCUCCAUGAACUGCCAUAUUUCUCACAUCUGUGUAUUUCUAUUUUCAUAGCUGUCAUAUCUUAUCACUUCACAUGGGAUAUUUAUUUUCUUGGCUUUGGGACUGACAGAUUUGCCUUCAGUUUUUAAUUUAUUUUUAUUUUUUCAUCUUAGUAUGGUUUUGGGGUCAAUCAUUCCUAAAAAUGUUGCUGUUACCAAUCCUUUACUCUUCAGUCUUCCUCACCUACCAAACUCUGACUGCAGUCUGCCUUCAGUUUCUACCUAGGUCUCACCAUGGGGUUUUCCUCUGACAAGGAAGUCCACUUUGCUUUGUUCCCGCACCCUGUUCUUUGGCUCACAUUACUUCCUCUGUUCAAGAUGACCUUUCAUCCACAAGGCUCCUCCCCUGUGUCCAUUCUCAAAAGCCGAGCUCAGUUCUAGCCUUCUCCCUGACCCUCAUCAGUCCAUUCCGUCCCAUACUCUCCUGUGCCGACGUCUCCCACCUGUGGAAUCUUGAGUGCAGGUCGUCUCUUAGACUCACUUGGCACCUCAUCACACAGCACCUUGCAUCCUUUUCUAAAGUUUCAGAAGUGUUUGUGAUAUGCCCCUGAUUAGAGCAAUGUUUGUCAAGACCAGCAGCAUGCCUCACAGUGCCAGGAUUGUGUUUGCAUAGACAUUCUUUCCUCCACGAUAUCCUGUCUUAUCUCCUUAUCAGUUAUUGGAGUUUAAGGGGAAGUAGCUUUUUAAAAAAAAAAAAAAAAAAGUUAAAUGAACUAUCUUUAUAGGCAAUCCUAAAUUUUUAAAUUGCCUGUGUAAUAGACACUAUUAAAACUAGAGGGUGAUAAGACCCCAAAUCACUCUAUCCAAGCCCAUUGUGCUAGUAAAACAUUUGAAAAUCCACACUGAUGCAAUGGCCACAUGAAAGAGAACAAGGUUUUGCAAUGCUCAAAGUUGAAACAAAAAUGAAUUAGAGCGUUGCCUCCUCUACUUUUGAGGGAAAUACUCAUACUUGAGAUAAAGAAGAUUAAGCCGAUUUUAUUAUGGGGAAAAUGAAAUGAUAGGCAAUUUUGUGGAUUUUCCAAAGGAGAUUUAUUAAUACAUGUAUCUUUAAAAAUAUUAGAUGUUGACUAAGAAAUUUUCCCCUUAAAUAUCCAAUUUUCCUUAAAAAUUAAUGGCUUUCAUUUUCUUUUAGAUGUGGGAUUAUUACCGCCACUGCUUUUAUAUAUCAGCUUUAAUAGAAAUCUUUUUUUGGAUCAAAACUUGAAAGAAAACAUUUGCGAAGAGUAGAAUGUAUAAAUGAACGAUGGUAUAUUCGUGCAAAAGAAUACUACACAGCAUGAGUCUGCAAACUCCAUCCUGUAGGUCGAAUCUGGCCCAUCGCCUGCUUCUUAGAGCCUGCAAACUAAAAAAGGUUCUUACAUUUUAGAUGUAAAAUUUUUGAAAGUAGGAGAUUUUAUGCCAUGUGAAGGUUAUAUAAAAGUCAAAUUUCAGUGUCCAUAAAUGCAUUUGUAUUAGGGCACAGCAAGAUUCAUUUCCUUAUGUAUUGUCUGUGGCUGCUUUUUGUGCUAUACUGCCAGAGAGACUUUUUCGGCCUGAAAGGCAAAAUACAUACUACAUGGCUCUUUAAGAAAGCGCUUGCUAACCCCUGCUAUGCAGCAGUAAAAUUAGCAAACAGAAAGGGAGACUUUCACAAAUAUGAUGGUGAAUGAAUAAAGCUAGUCUCUAAAGAGUAGGUGUCAUAUAGUCCAGGCAAAAUUAAUCUACAGUGAAAUAAAUCAGAAUGGAGAUUUGCUCUGGGUGCGUGGGCUCUGUAUGCAAGGGAGGCUUCUGGGGUGCUGGCAGUGAUUGACUUCUUGAGCUGAAUUCAGGUUGCACAGAUGUAUGUUCCCCAAAAUUCUCUGGGCACUUGCAAUUUGUGAUCUUUUCUGCAUUUAUGUUAUACUUCAGCCUUAAAGGUUUACUUAAAAGAGCCUAGGAAGAAUAAAAAAGAAUGAUUAAGAAGAGAAAUGAAAAUAGAGGAAAGAGGAUGCACGCUGAGGAACAGUUAUGAACUGGAAGACGGCAGAGCUGCCGGGAUGUGCCUGGAGCCGGGUGAGGCUGGGAGGAGGGGAAAUAGCUGGGAAAGGGGCCGGGAGAGAGCCCCCGGGAUGUGUUAGGACUUGAGCAGAUCCUACCUAGCUUUGUCACCACCAUCACCCUAUGAGGCAGAUAUCAUCUUUGUUGUAUAGAAAAGGAAACUGAGGCUGAGAAAGAUUCUGCAUCCUGCCCGAGGACUCACAGCUUGUAUGUACAGGGCACAUUUCAAUCCAAGGGGAAACCAUGCUUUGUUCAUUAUUCUUCGGAAAGAGAAGGAAGGAGUUAGUGUGGAUGAAAUACGCAGAUUCUCUCUGUGGCUAUCAGGGAUUACUGAAGCCCUAGAAUGACUGUUACCCCCUAGAGUGGGGAGCUUAUGUGGGGAGGGGCGUUUGAAAAGAGCGUUGGGAGAAAAAGUGGUUUCAGAAAGGAUAGAGCAGUAGAGAUUCUAUCUGCUUUGGAAUGUUUAUGUCAACAUUUUGGCAUUCUUAACUCAAGAGGCACUCAUGUGUUCACAGUUUUCUAUUUCUUCUACUUUUAGUGCAGAUAUUUUUCCAGUCUUGAGGUGAGAUGGCUUACCUGUGUGUAAACUAUGCAACCAGUUUAAUGAACUAUGAUGUGAAGAUCAGUUUCUGAUAAUAUAAAAUAUACUCCUAGAAUUCUGUGGCUUGCAAACUUUUAAAAUUAUUCUUGGCUAUACAAAGAAAUCAAGAAAGCUUUUCUCUUCUGAAAUGUCAUGAAGUUUCCCAGAUUCUUUUUCAAAAUCAAAGCUAUGUGUGUCUGAAUUUAUGUCGCCAAGUGAUUAGCAGGUGACAGGUUGGCCUAAAUAAAACACAGAUUCUGAUUUAGCUUACAGGAAAAUUAAGCAGUCUAAUUAGGUAUAAUAAACAAAAUGAACAAAUUAACAUCAAUCUACCUGUGCUCAGUUCGUAGGUGAGCCUAGAGUGAAUAUUUAUGUUUAGUUAGUUUUUUUUUUGGUACAUGUGUGGUCUGUUCCGGUAUGAGAUUAUGUUUGGUACAAAUUCCAGGUCAGAUCCUGUACAUUAAGAAAGUCAGCUAUAAGGGACAGUUAGAAACAUUUGGACAUUCCGGCACUUCCAUAAAUUAUGCAUGUGUUCUCAUUGCAGAAACUGGUAAUGCUUCUAAACAAAUGGAGACCUCCUCAAAUGUUGGCUUUUAGUCUUUAGAUUUAUUUUUCAAAACACAUGCACACAAACAACAACAACAACAAACCUCUCAUGUUUCAGUGGUUAGCCCUCUCUUCUUCCCCUUACGCCUCUUCUAAGCAAUUCAGUGUGGCAUACUCUCAUCACAUGCUAAGGCUCAGAAAUACUGCUUGAGUUGUAAAUUCCAAUUUUCAUCUACCUAUCUUUUGCUAUUGAAAACAAACCCCAAGUCUGCUUUCAAUUGUUGCAAUAUCUUCAUGAGUCUUUAUUAACUUCUCUAAGAAUGUGACAGGGGAAAGCAUACUAUUCAGGUUAUUUCAAAAUAUUUUAUUCAUGUAAAUACUAACCUAUAAUUUCCAUCGCUUUCUCCAUGGAUCAAUGACACAAAACCAAACUGUUAGUAAUUCUGUAUUUUUAGAAGGACACAUUGAUGGCCAUCUCCCAAGACAGACCUAAGAGCCAGGGGAGGACAUGGCUUUAGGCUUAUAAGAGCUAGCUCAUCUGGGGAAGGAGAGAAUCUUGUCUGUACCACUGACAGCUGGGGUGUUUGUCACCUCCGAUGCUGGCCAGUUGGGAAAGGGUAAUAAAGCUGUGUAUCUAUUAUUGUUGAAAGGAAUCCAGGUAUUGAAUAGAAAUGGAAAGACCUUUUCUUUCAUCCCAAGUAGGUCAUUACAGCAAUCCAAACUGUGGUGACUAGUGAAUGGCAAAUUACAUUUUCCAGAUGGGAUUACUCAGGAAAUGACCUCCGAAGGAGCUAGAACCAUCCAAAAUCAAUAAACCAAUGCCAGCCACGCCACACAUUUGUAUUUAUACUUCACGUAUCAAUGACAAAAGUACUAUUCUGGUAAGAGAGAUCUGUAGGCAUCACACAUUCAGUCUUAUAGACGAACUAAUUCUGGCACUGAAAAAUGAUACCUUGGACACGGAUUAAUUCCUGGGUACAGGUGUGGCUGUACCUGUCAGGUGAGGCACCUGACAGCCCUAAUGUCGUACAGGUGCAUAAAGAAUGUCCUUUAGGUAGUGGUCACAGCCCUUAUUUGCAGAUCUUGAGUUUUAACCAUGACUCUGAUCCUUAUAUUAUUGGCAGUAAAUUGACUUUUUUUUUUUUACCCCGGUUGAUUUGGUUAUAGAGUGAGGUGUAGCAUAUUGAUGAUUGAUGUUCAUGUUGGGAGAUUAAAUUGAAUGCACUAAAAUACAAAUUGGCUGUUAAUGUGUAGACAUAGGAACAUUUAAAAAAGGAGAGAAGGCAUAAUGUGAAAGCCAGUGGCUCAUCUUAACAACCACUCCUUCAUCUACAGUAGCAGAAUAUUUAUUUAUUUUAUUUAUUUAUUUAUAUUUUUAAGAUGGAGUUUUUCUCUUGUUGCUUAGGCUGCAGUGCAAUGGUGCGAUCUUGGCUCACUGCAACCUCUGCCUCCCAGGUUCAAGCGAUUCUCCUGCCUCAGCCUCCUGAGUAGCUGAGAUUACAGGCGCCUGCCACCACACCCAGCUAAUUUCUGUAUUUUUAGUAGAGAUGGGGUUUCACCAUGCUGGCCAGGCUGGUCUCCAGCUCCCAACCUCAGGUGAUCUGCCUGCCUCGGCCUCCCAAAGUGCUGGGAUUACAGACGUGAGCCACCACGCCCAGCUAGAAUAUUUAUUUAAUCUUCCAGUUGACCCCUCCCAACCCCCAAACACCUUCUGCAUCUCCUUUUUGUUCUUUCAAGUUGUUCUGUUCUUCCUUGCUUUCUUCUUAUAUGCCUUCUGUGUAGGUACUUACUCCAUCCUUAAACAAGAACAUACUCCUGUAAGUAAGAGCUCAUUGGUAUUGAUGAUAACGUAUAUUUACUAAGAAGGUCUUGAAAUUGCUUUGAUGUUCAUUGGAACCCUUGCCCCAGGCCCAAUCAGGGACUACCAGAAAGGGUGUUCAGAAAAAAAAUGAGAAAUCUUCAGAAGAAAACCAGCAUCUCCCAAAUCCUGGGAAGCAUUGAUGGUGACCCUGCAUGUGGGCUAUGAACUGGGAAAAGCCUGUUUCAGAACUGCUCUGGAACAAUGAAAGAAAAUGAUUCUGUAUUAGACUGAUACACUAUGUACGUGUGUAUAAAUGGCCUUUGUGUAUAUUACUGUGAUUUAUUAUUAAAAAUGGAAUCAACAAGAA